rnacentral:rRNA from 1 species
GACGAACGCUGGCGGCGUGCUUAACACAUGCAAGUCGAACGGAAAGGCCCUGCUCUUGUGGGGUGCUCGAGUGGCGAACGGGUGAGUAACACGUGAGUAACCUGCCCUGGACUGUGGGAUAACUUCAGGAAACUGGGGCUAAUACCGGAUAGGAGCUCCUGCUGCAGGGGGGGGGUUGGAAAGUUUCGGCGGGUGGGGCUGGACGCGGGGCUUAUCAGCUUGUGGGGGGGGUAGUGGCUUACCAAGGGUUCGGCGGGUAGCCGGCCUGGGAGGGUGACCGGCCCCAUUGGGCCUGCGAUACGGCCCAGACUCCUACGUGGGGCAGAAGUGGGGAACCUUGCACAGUGGUCGGACGCCUGAUGCAGCAGCGCCGCGUGCGGGAUGACGGCCUUCGGGUUGUAAACCGCUUUCGCCUGUGACGAAGCGUGAGUGACGGUAAUGGGUAAAGAAGCACCGGCUAACUACGUG